rnacentral:rRNA from 1 species
UAGGGAAUAUUGGUCAAUGGGCGAGAGCCUGAACCAGCCAUGCCGCGUGCAGGAAGAAGGCCUUCUGGGUUGUAAACUGCUUUUAUAUAGGAAGAAAUAGUCCUUGCGAGGAAAGUUGACGGUACUAUAUGAAUAAGCACCGGCUAACUCCGUGCCAGCAGCCGCGGUAAUACGGAGGGUGCAAGCGUUGUCCGGAUUUAUUGGGUUUAAAGGGUACGUAGGUGGGCUAUUAAGUCAGUGGUGAAAGCCUGCAGCUUAACUGUAGAACUGCCAUUGAUACUGAUAGUCUUGAGUAUGGUCGAGGUAGGCAGAAUUUAUGGUGUAGCGGUGAAAUGCAUAGAUACCAUAAGGAAUACCGAUAGCGAAGGCAGCUUACUGGGCCGUUACUGACACUAAUGUACGAAAGCGUGGGGAGCGAACAGGAUUAGAUACCCGUGUAGUCC